ensembl:lncRNA
UUCCUACCAAUUUUCCUAAAUAAAGUUCCAUCUUAAUAAAUGAGUUUAAAUAAAUUGAGUAAAUUUCGCGGCUAAAGUGAUCACGUGUGCAGCUCCGCAGAAAACAAACACAAUCUGCUUUCCUCAGCAACGACGUCGACUAGCCAUACUCCUCGCAACUCCUGUUUCGCGGCUUAAUCGAAGCCACCUGAAGGACGGCUUUCCUCAGCAACGGCAAGGCCCGCACUCCUCGCAUAUCCUGUUGAACAAGUUUCGCGGCUCAAGCAAGAGGCACCUGUCACUGAAGGACUGCUUUCCUCAGCAACGACGUGAACAGCAUUACUCGAAUAUCCUGAUUCAGCUGAUCUACCCGUCUUUGUACAAGCGGAGUUGGUAGAGGAGGUCAUAAAAAUCUACAUCCUUCGGGACAAUGAUGGGGCAGUCGGCGAUGUAGGAGUUGUGAUUGAGGACAUCACUGUCCUCCGCAAUCUCGGGAAUCUCAGCAGAGCCUGCUGCUAUCUUUUGGGACUCACGUACGCAUUGGAUUUGAGAUAUCCCAAGACCCACAAAUACUCACUUGAGGUUUACAAAAACUGUUUCUUGAGCUGGAUCCUUCAAGACUCUCUGUUAAGGUUCAGAGGUUAAAAAAAUAUCUUCUUGCAUAGUUGCUGUUCAAGAUCAUCCCACAGAAUGGGCGUUCCUGAUGGAAGUGUUUCUGUUAUCUGAUUAAUUAUGUUGAAGGGAUAGUUCACCCCAAAAUGAAAAUGUUGUCAUAAUGUACUCACCCUCAAGUUGUCCCAAACCUUUACGAGUUUCUUUCUUCUCUUGAACACAAAAGAUAUUUUAAAGAAUGUUGGUUAACAGACAGUUGAAGGUUGCCAUUGACUUUUCAUAGUAUUUUUUUUUUUUUCCUACCAUGAAAGUCAAUGGCAACCUUCAACUGUCUGUUAACCAACAUUCUUUAAAAUAUCUUUUGUGUUCAACAGAAGAAAGAAACUCGUACAGGUUUGGGACAACUUGAGGGCGAGUACAUUAUGACAACAUCAUCUUUUUGGGUGAACUAUCCCUUUAUAUUGAUGUAAGUGUUGCUUUUAUUUUUUUUAUGGUUUAAUGUUGAGUGUGACUGCAAAUGGCUUGUAUGCAGCAGGAAGAAAGUAAGAUGUCAUUUCUCUUAUGGCUAUCGUAUUUUACAUGCAAUCUACUUGAAUAUUAAAAUGGAUGAAAUUUUUCAUAGGUUGAUUUUAGACUUUGUCUAAUGUUUAAUUGACA